AACUCCCUUCUCCAGGCCCCGCCACUGUCCUGCAACUGCGGCAACCAAUCCCCCGACCACGACCCCUGAUUCCAACCCUGCCACACCAGAGCCCUGUCCCCAAACUGCUCCUUUCUUCUCUAGCCCCUACCUCACCUUCCCUUUACUCGGUCCCCAAAGCUCUCCUUUCUGCCCUUGCCCUACCAAACCCUCCCCUCCACAAUUGCCCCUCUCACUGUGCCCCUCUCCGGCUGUCCUGGCCGGGUCCCCAGCCUGGCUCUGGCCCAAGCUUGGCCCCGCUCCCGCUUCCCUCUACCCCCGCCUCCCUGCGUCGCUUCUCCCGGGACUGUCUGCCCCAGUCCCAGCCGCCUGGUCUGUGCCCACAGACGUGGACGAGUGCCACCGCGUGCCGCCGCCGUGUGACCUCGGGCGCUGCGAGAACACGCCAGGCAGCUUCCUGUGCGUGUGCCCUGCUGGGUACCAGGCUGCACCGCACGGAGCCAGCUGCCAGGAUGUGGACGAGUGUGCCCGAAGCCCCCCACCCUGCACCUAUGGCCGGUGUGAGAACACAGAAGGCAGCUUCCAGUGUGUCUGCCCCGUGGGCUUCCAACCCAAUGCUGCUGGCUCCGAAUGUGGAUGAGUGUGAGAACCACCUGGCAUGCCCUGGGCAGGAGUGUGUGAACUCGCCUGGCUCCUUCCAGUGCAGGGCCUGUACUUCUGGCCACCACCUGCACCGUGGCAGAUGCACUGAUGUGGACGAAUGCAGUUCGGGUGCCCCUCCCUGUGGUCCCCACGGCCACUGCACUAACACCGAAGGCUCCUUCCGCUGCAGCUGCGCGCCAGGCUACCGGGCGCCGUCGGGUCGGCCCGGGCCCUGCGCAGACGUGAACGAGUGCCUGGAGGGCGAUUUCUGCUUCCCUCACGGCGAGUGCCUCAACACUGACGGCUCCUUUGCCUGUACUUGUGCCCCCGGCUACCGACCCGGACCCCGCGGAGCCUCUUGCCUCGGUUCGUACCCAGGCUGAUCCUGGCCCCGGAAAGGGUGGGCUUAGGGCAGGAAAAGGCGGGACGGGGAGAAGAGGGCGAAAAGGGGAAAACAAGUUUUUAGCCGGGGUCUUCCAGCAGGAUCGGGGCAGCGGGUGGGAGUCUCGAGGCAGUGAGGGGGGGCGGGGCGUGGAGAGGAAAGGGCGGAGUCUGGGUAUUUGGACCGUGAUUGUAAAGAAGCUGUUCCAACCCCGUCGGGGGGCGGCGUUUGCAGAGAGGGAAGUAGCGUGAGGCAGGUUGGGGAAGGCGUGAAAGGCCUAG
rnacentral:sRNA from 1 species